GACGAACGCUGGCGGCGUGCCUAAUACAUGCAAGUCGAACGCAGUGGGGACGGGUGAGUAACACGUGGGUAACCUCCCAUCAGAGGGGAUAACACUUGGAAACAGGUGCUAAACCGAUACAGAUGGAUGUCCCCGCGGUGCAUUAGCUAGUUGGUGAGGUAACGGCUAACCAAGGCCACGCGGCAUAGCGUACCUGAGAGGGUGAUCGGCCACAAUGGCACUGAGACACGGCCCAGACGACUACGGGAGGCAGCAUGAGGGAAUCUUCGGCAAUGGACGAACGUCUGACCGAGCAACGCCGCGUGAGUGAAGAAGGUUUUCGGAUCGUAAAACUCUGUUGUUUGAGAAGCGGAAUCUAACCAGAAAGCCACGGCUAACUACGUGCCAGCAGCCGCGGUAAUAC
rnacentral:rRNA from 1 species